UGCGGGCAUCGUAUAAUGGCUAUUACCUCAGCCUUCCAAGCUGAUGAUGCGGGUUCGAUUCCCGCUGCCCGCUCC
rnacentral:tRNA from 3 species